ACCUUAGAAUAAUUUUGAGAUAUUAUGGAAAUGAAGUUGUUAAGAUGUAAAUUAUGAUUAUGGUUGAUGAAAUUGGAAGGUGGAAAUAUGUUAUGAAUAUGUAGGUUGAAGAUUUGAAGUUUUGGGUGAAUUAUGUUUUGGUGGAAAGUUUGUAUAUUUUGUAUAUCUUGUGAAUAUUUCGUAGGAAUGAUAUGAAAUAUUUCCAAAUUAUAUUGUGAUGAUCUAGAUUAAUGAUGAAUGUGAAACCAUUGAGAUUAGUUUGGAAAUUGAAGUUGAAAUGAAGGUUAUGACAUUAUGUUGGAAAGAUAGCUAGUUAAGUUAUAUUGUGUUUAUGGUGACUAUUGUUGUUGUUGAUGUUGUUGUUGGGUUGUUGUUGAUUGUUUUGGCCGAGUUAAAUUGUCGGGGAUGCUAUAUGUAUAGGGGAGAUGCUGCCCAAAUUUCUGUAGGCAAUUAUGAAUAAAGAUUGAAUACUUAAAGAUUGGAAAUUGAGAAUUGGUAAAUGUGACCAAUUACAGAUUUUGGGCGAAACGGGAAUUGAAUUUGGAAAGGCGUAAAGAGCAUACAAGGUACAGACUACAGAUUUGCUGACCCACCUGCCUAGGACACCUAUUCUGCUAUUCUGGAGCGCUCUUUUGUCCAGAGCCUAUACUCUGGUACAGUCUGCUGCUGUUGUAUAUAUGUACGCUAUUCAGGGGUACGACGGGGCCCUGUCCCGUCUUAUGAUUCUGUUAUGUUCUGUAGAGGUCUGUAGACAUACAUGUGGGUUCUGUAUAUGUUUUGGGUUGCUAUGAUUUGUGAUAGCCUUAUCGGCUUCCAUGUGCUAUAUAUGUUCCUCUGUGACACUAGUAACGUCGACUGACUUUUAUAUUUAUAUAA